rnacentral:lncRNA from 1 species
AUAGUAAUUUGUCUGGAGGAAGAUGAAUUAUACAAGGAAGAUGAUAAACCAUACACAAUCUUACAAAGGUUGGAUGACCCACUUUCUCUGAAGGUGAUGCUAAUGCUUCUCAGAAUAUGACACCGAGAAGAAGGUGACCUGAAAUGGUGCAAGUCAUUGGAAAGAGUGGUGAAAUUCAUCCUGCAGCAGCUCACCUCAGCACCAUGUUUAGUACUUGAAAAGUGGUUCAUGAGUGCUUUCUCACAACUCUCAUCCACACCUCUCUGGCUCUGAAUGCUGAAUUAUAAUUGUGUUAUGUUAUUUCUUCAAGGGAAACUGUAUCAAUAACAAAGUACAGAGAAGUGGACGUUUAAUCUUAAAUCACAGUAACAUCAAAUUAUUGUCAAGGAAAAAUGGACCUCAAAUCGUCUUGGAGAUGAAAAUAUAAAACAAACAUUGAGGUUUUAAAAUAAUUAAAUGUAACUUAAAUAGUAUUGGCAUUAGGUAUCACAUUAUAAGAUCAUCUGACAGUGCACUGAUUCAAAAUGAGACCGUAAUGAAACAGACAUGUCUAUAUCAAGUCCACUUAUACUGUCUUCAGGAGCAAAUUUC